AAUUAAUAUGGGUAUGCAUGCAGAGUUUGGAAUCAGAAAUAGGGCUCUCAGUUAGCAUAUUACCAGCAAAGUUAGCAGCAUACAUGGGAGGAGGAGUCAGAGGAGUGGAGUCCCUAACGGGGUCUGUUGUAAUAAGUUCAUCAAUUGAUCAUAAUGUUGUCUGCUCAACCCUGGUAUCACAGAACUCUGGCCAUCUAUUCUUGGAACAGAUUGAUGACUCUCAGGAGGAUUCCCUUGGGGAACAGACAUAUGUGCUUCAGAAUGAGGCAAAUCCACACCAGAAGUAAGAUGAGCAGCAGCAGGUCUCCUCCCCUUGUUAAAAUUUGUAUUUUGUGGAUACCCAUGGAUCUUGAAACACUUAUCAAUUAAGUGUCCUGGGCAUUAAAAGACACAGAGUCUGGAUUAAAGUGAGAAGGAGACUGCACUUGUCUUUGCUUCUCAUCAUUGAGGACCAAAUUAUAGACACUGUCAAGGGUUGGAGGUGGCUGCAUCAUCAAAAGGUUACUCCUUUCCCCCAUGUAUGCUUCAUUAAGGCCCAUUAGAAACUGAAAUACCUUAUUGUCAUCAUUUUCCUGUAUUAUACAAUCUUUAGCAGCACAAACACAUCUUUGGCCAUGAUUGACACACAUUGAUUCUAGUUCAUCCCAGAGACCUUUGAGUUUAUUAAAGUAUGAAGCUACAUCUAGGGACCCUUGAGAGGUUUGAGAAAGCUCUCUUUUCAAUUCAAAAAUUUUGGUCCUAUUUGCAGUGCCAUAUCUGGCCUGAAGUUGGGACCAUAUACUUUGUGCAGUAUCAGAAUACUGCACACUUUCAGCAAUUUGAGGGGAGAGGGAGGCCAUAUCUGGCCUGAAGUUGGGACCAUAUACUUUGUGCAGUAUCAGAAUACUGCACAGUUUCAGCAAUUUGAGGGGAGAGGGAGGCAGCUAACCAUGAAAUCACCAUAUUAUUGCACCUGUCCCAUAAGCUUUGUUGAUCCACAUUAGUGGCUGGCCGAGAACACGUGCCAUCAACAAAACUAAUUUUGUUUUUAGCAGAUAAGGCAACAAUCAUCUUUCUCCUCCAACCCCCAUAACCACUGCCCGAGAAGGGAGUGGAGACAAGAGAGACGCCAGGGACAUCAGAGGAGUAGACAAAAAGGGGGCUGGUAGAGUCUACCGAGGAGGUACCAACAGUCGUAUUAGAGGCCAUGAUUAAUGAACCAGCUUGAGAGAAAAAAAAACAGUUUCGACAAGCAAAGUAUAACGGUACCAGAUACUCACAUA
rnacentral:lncRNA from 1 species